GAUGAAUGCUGGCGGCGUGCCUAAUACAUGCAAGUCGAGCGGUAAGGCCCCUUCGGGGGUACACGAGCGGCGGACGGCUGAGUAACGCGUAGGAACGUACCCCGAAGUGAGGCAUAAGCACUGGAAACAGUGUCUAAUACCGCAUGUGCUCUACGGAGUAAAGGAUUUAUCCGCUUUGGGAACGGCCUGCGUCUGAUUAGCUUGUUGGUGAGGUAAAAGCUCACCAAGGCGACGAUCAGUAGCUGGUCUGAGAGGAUGAUCAGCCAGACUGGGACUGAGACACGGCCCAGACUCCUACGGGAGGCAGCAGUAGGGAAUUUUCCACAAUGGGCGAAAGCCUGAUGGAGCAACGCCGCGUGCAGGAUGAAUGCCCUUGGGUUGUAAACUGCUUUUACGAGUGACGAAUAUGACGGUAGCUCGUGAAUAAGGAUCGGCUAACUCCGUGCCAGCAGCCGCGGUAAUU
rnacentral:rRNA from 1 species